rnacentral:rRNA from 1 species
AGAGUUUGAUCAUGGCUCAGAUUGAACGCUGGCGGCAUGCCUUACACAUGCAAGUCGAACGGCAGCGCGGGGGGUAACUCCUGGCGGCGAGUGGCGAACGGGUGAGUAAUAUAUCGGAACGUGCCCAAGAGUGGGGGAUAACCAGUCGAAAGAUUGGCUAAUACCGCAUACGAUCUACGGAUGAAAGUGGGGGAUUCGCAAGAACCUCAUGCUCCUGGAGCGGCCGAUAUCUGAUUAGCUAGUUGGUGGGGUAAAAGCCUACCAAGGCGACGAUCAGUAGCUGGUCUGAGAGGACGACCAGCCACACUGGGACUGAGACACGGCCCAGACUCCUACGG